UCCUGUCAAGGACAUGCCCCUGCGCUGGUGGUGAAUACGCAGCGCAGCGGCGUCCUCUUUCCUUCCAAGGCUGCGCUGCACCGGUCCCCAGGCGGACAGGGCUCUGCCGAGCUGCUGCCCUCUGGCCGACUCCGCCGAGGAGGGGGCGCCAGCUGGAGCUGAGGUUGGCGCGUGGGAAGCGGGUGGCCGCUCAGAAGAGGCCACGUGGCCGAGGCCCAGGGCUGGGGGCAGCAGACAGGCGUGGGGCGAAAGCUGCCAGGGCCGAGCGCUGCAUGUCAGGGCUCAGAAGAGGACACCCCAGAGACUGGCGCUUUGACGUGAGGCCUUAGGAGCGGCCUCGCGUUCGAGGUCUCUCUGAGCUUUGCUUGCUUCCAGCUCAGGGGGAGACAGGAGUACGGGGUCGGCUUGCUGACAUUUCACCGAGGGAGAAGAGAAACUGCCGGGAAGGAAGCCUGGCAGUGGCACCUCGGCUCCGAGGCCCAGAGCAGCUCGGUUCCGGCCGCCAUUCUCCUGGGCCCGUUCAUCACCCCAAUCACGGCGCCCCCCACCCUGCGAAGGGGUUGUUCAGACCUCAGCCCUCACCUCUCCGAGUCGCGUGCUCCCCGCCCCGCCAACCUGCCCGGUGUCAGUUUAUUACUCAGACCAAGAUGAUCAGGUCUUCAGGGGGACAAGAGAAAAUUGAAAGCUGCCCUUGGUCACCGCAGAUUUAACCUGAAUUUUUUCUUCAUCGGUGCACGGGUGUAAUGCGGCUGUCUGUGGGAAGGCUUGGGAUUUACGAACGCUUCGCAGGCCGGGCGCGAGUCUGUGAACGAGCCCCUCUUGGGGUGGCCAUCUGAUUGUGAAAUCAGAUGUGAAUAAAAUCAUGAAGAGUGACAUUGCCAUCCUACCCCCCCGUGAGAUGUCCCUGCAAGGAGAGGCCAUGGAUGGGGACACCUGGAGGAACAGGAAGCCCACGUUUCAUUAUCCUCGUGAAUGGUCAAGUUUUACACAGAACUCAGACUCCGCAUUUGUGGCAAUGUGACAAACUCCAGGAGAUCAAUCCAGAGACGACUGGCUCUAGGCUAGCAAGCUGAGGGGAGAAGACUCACCCUUCUACAAGCAACAGGCCUGUAGCCUGCAUGAAAUAAAAGAGAAAGAAGAAGGAACUUGGCGUGCACUUUGAAGAGCACCAUCCUGCUCAAGUAGGUUUGUCCUUUGUGGUCACUGCCUGUGGAUGUCAGACCCCAGUUUCUUCAGGUGUCCAGGGCAGCCUUGUACCAAGGGCUGCAGGGAGCUUCCAGGCCUUUGGUGAACUGGUGCUGCUCCCUGCUCUGCUUCCAAGCUGCUGUGGACUGAGCAGCUUUGCUCCCCUCUGCCGCUCCGCUGUGAUGUUCCUGCUUGCAGCCAGCUGACCAUGGACUGAAUCCCCUGAAACUGUGAACAAUAUCAAACCUCUCCUUCUUUAAGUUGUGGGUGUUGGAGGUUGUGUCCCAGAAAUUGGAAAGCUGAGUAAUACAGUCACUGAAUGAAUGAAUGAAUGAAUGAUUGAAUAAAUGAGUGAGGGUGUGAAAAUAUUGAAUUGAAAUAGGAUGGUGGUCUCUGAAUAAAACCGAAUCUGCAGUGUUCAAUUUUGAGACUCUGAUUAAAAAUUC